rnacentral:rRNA from 1 species
AACGAACGCUGGCGGCAUGCCUAACACAUGCAAGUCGAACGAGACCUUCGGGUCUAGUGGCGCACGGGUGCGUAACGCGUGGGAACCUGCCCUUAGGUUCGGAAUAACUCCCCGAAAGGGGUGCUAAUACCGGAUAAUGUCUUCGGACCAAAGAUUUAUCGCCUUUGGAUGGGCCCGCGUUGGAUUAGCUAGUUGGUAGGGUAAAAGCCUACCAAGGCGACGAUCCAUAGCUGGUCUGAGAGGAUGAUCAGCCACACUGGGACUGAGACACGGCCCAGACCCCUACGGGGGGCAGCAGGGGGGAAAAUUGGAAAAGGGGCGAAAGCCGGUUCCAGCAAGGCCGGGGGGGUGAUGAAGGCCUUAGGGUUGUAAAGCUCUUUUACCCGGGAUGAUAAGGCCAGGACCGGGAAAAAAAGCCCCGGCUAACUCCGU